rnacentral:rRNA from 1 species
AAAUUGAAGAGUUUGAUCAUGGCUCAGAUUGAACGCUGGCGGCAGGCCUAACACAUGCAAGUCGAACGGUAGCACAGAGAGCUUGCUCUCGGGUGACGAGUGGCGGACGGGUGAGUAAUGUCUGGGAAACUGCCUGAUGGAGGGGGAUAACUACUGGAAACGGUGGCUAAUACCGCAUAACGUCGCGAGACCAAAGAGGGGGACCUUCGGGCCUCUUGCCAUCAGAUGUGCCCAGAUGGGAUUAGCU